rnacentral:rRNA from 1 species
CGCGUAGGCGGGGGACCAAGUCCGGGGUGAAAUCUUUCGGCUCAACCGGAAAACUGCCUUGGAUACUGGUCUUCUCGAGGGAGGUAGGGGCAGGUGGAACUUCCGGUGGAGCGGUGAAAUGCGUUGAUAUCGGAAGGAACGCCGGUGGCGAAAGCGACCUGCUGGAUCUCUUCUGACGCUGAUGCGCGAAAGCUAGGGGAGCGAACG